AGCUAACGCGUUAAGCAUCCCGCCUGGGGAGUACGGCCGCAAGGCUAAAACUCAAAGGAAUUGACGGGGACCCGCACAACCAGUGGAGCGUGUGGUUCAAUUUGAGACGAAGCAAAAAACCUCACCAAGGUUUGACAUGUAACCGUACAUUUCCCUAGAAAUAGGGAGAAAUCCGCAAGGAUGGUUACACAGGUGCUGCAUGGCUGUCGUCAGCUCGUGCCGUGAGGUGUCUUAUUAAGUUAAGAAACGAGUGCAACCCCUAUCUUGUGUUAAAUAUUCACAAGAGACUGCCCCGAUUUUAUCGGGGAGGAAGGAGGGGCGGACGUCAAGUCCGCAUGGCCCUUAUACCUUGGGCUACACACACCCUACAAUGGCGAAAAACAAUGCGUCGCAAGCCGGUAACGGCAAGCUAAUCGCUGAAAUUUCGCCUCAGUUCAGAUCGAGGUCUGAAAUUCGACCUCGUGAAGUCGGAAUUGGUAGUAAUCGCAAAUCAGCAGGUUGCGGUGAAUACGUUCUCGGGUCUUGUACACACCGCCCGUCAAGGCAGCAAAGUCGGAAGCUAUCGAAUCCCACCUUUCUGUGUUUGAUUUUAAGUAUAGUUUUAAAUCAUUUUGAGAUUUGAUUUAUUAAGCUAACUUUUUAAUCGAUCGUAGAAAGGUGGGAGAGAUAGAGUUCGAUGAUGAGGCUUAAGUCGUAACAAGGUAUCCCUAGCCGAAGCUGGGGAUGGAUCACCUCCUUU
rnacentral:rRNA from 1 species